rnacentral:rRNA from 1 species
AUGUUGCGAUCGAUCAUCGCCCGAUCUCAGCCCCUUCUUUCCCACCUCCGGUGGCGAGCAGCCGCCGCUCCGGGCGCUGCCAAGCCAAGGAUCCUCCCAUUACGUGCGUACGCCACCGACGACGACACGGCACGGCCCAACGGAGCUGAUGGCAGGACGGCGGCGGCGGAGUCCAAUCUGCGGCGGCAUCUGUACGUGGUACUCAAGGAGAGGCGCUCGGUGACCCACAGCAUCUACAAGCUCGACGUCGACGACCUCCACGACGGCGAGCACGCGACCGUCGCGGACGAGGCGCCGCGCCGCCUCCCGGGACGAGCCCUCCGCCUGGGCGCCUCGUUGGUGGGCACAUACAAUGACACGCACUUCGAUGCCGUCGGCAGCAACAUCGUCAUGACGACUCACUCCAGCACCCUCUCCGUAUUGUUCGCCGGCACUCCGUACUUCCUCACCUUGGUGUACGACACCAAGACGGGGAAGCUGGACGGCGGGAGGCCUCCACACGAGUUCCCGCCCGGCCCCUUCGACUCCGAGCCCGACGGCGACGUGCUGGAGGCGAGGAAAUGGUUCCCGUCUCACCCCUACCAAUCCGCGCCCGUCGGCGACAAGCUGUGGGCGCUAAACGGCGAGGAAGAAAAUACGCCAGGCUACUUAGCAUACGAGGAGCCUGACGAGGAGUGGGCCUGGAAGAUGUGCCGGCGGCCGCUCCCGCUCGACGCCGGCGGCGGCCGCAGCCGUGUCAUGUCGCACGCGGUGCACCCGGACGGCCGCACCGUCUUCGCCUCGUCCUCCUUCACCUUCUCGCUCGACACCAGGCGCUGCCGGUCGGCGCGCCGCGGCGACUGGCGCCUGCCGUUCCACGGCCGCGGGCACUACGACGGCGAGCUGGGCGCGUGGGUCGGGAUCCGGGAGGCCGACGGCACCGACGGCGGGGUCAAGGGAAGUCCCUACCUUUGCUCCUGCGACGUCCCGGACCUCGCUGGCGUCGACGUCGAGGGGCCGGUGCCGGCGCCGGCGUGGAGGAUGUGCGAUCAGGAGCUCACGUUCCUCAAGACGCCGGUGAACCUCGGGUGCCGCGCACUCGUCCACGUCGGGCAUGGGCGGUUCUGCCUCGUCGAGGUCGUGCCGGCGGCGUCGGUCGCCGAGGGAGCGAAAGCUAGGGGUGGAGAGUGCCUGCUCCAUGUGACCGUGUUCCGCGCUGAGCAUUGCAAGAACGGCGAACUCGUGGUCACGCCGUGCCGACCUGGCCGCUCCUACCUCGUGCCCAAUUGUUCUCUGUGCUUGCCCGGCGCGUUCUGGAUUUGA